rnacentral:rRNA from 1 species
AACCCUAUACGGGGGAUCACUUGGCUCGUGGGUCGAUGAAGAACGCAGCUAACUGUGUGAAAUCGUGUGAACUGCAGGACACAUGAACAUCGACAUUUUGAACGCAUAUUGCGGUCCAUGCAAAAGUUUAAAUUUUUGUUUAAACUGCAUGGACCACGUAUGGUUGAGUGUCG